rnacentral:rRNA from 1 species
UACGUAGGGUGCGAGCGUUGUCCGGAAUUAUUGGGCGUAAAGAGCUCGUAGGCGGUGUGUCACGUCGGCCGUGAAACCUGGGGCUUAACUCUGGGCGUGCGGUCGAUACGGGCAUCACUAGAGUUCGGCAGGGGAGACUGGAAUUCCUGGUGUAGCGGUGAAAUGCGCAGAUAUCAGGAGGAACACCGGUGGCGAAGGCGGGUCUCUGGGCCGAUGACUGACGCUGAGGAGCGAAAGCAUGGGUAGCGAACAGG